rnacentral:lncRNA from 1 species
AAUAUUUUUGAAUUCAUGAAUUUACCUUCUAUUAGUGGUUUAUGUAAAUAAAACCAUAUAUAUUUACUAAGUCCAUUAUUUUCUUUUUUUUACACCAAAAAUCCAAUUAAUUCAGAAAUAAGUCAGAGUUGUUGUUCUAUUAAAUCAAGACUAAAACAAAGUAUCUCUAUUCUUCAGGUAUACAUUUAUUUGUGUUACAAUAAACCUUAUUAUAUUCAAAUAAGUCAAAUAUUUUGAAUCUAUUUCUUUGAUGAUAUGAUAUUUUGUG